ensembl:lncRNA
CAGGACUGGAAAUUCCAGCAUAUAAAGAAUUACAAUAAUCCAAUCGAGAUAAAACUAUUUGAGUUUAAAUGUAAUGCAGCCUUUGACCUUCAUUAUUUGAAGCUGAAAAGGGUUGACGUUUUCAAGAGUGUAUGCAACGAGCGAACCUUUUAAAAAUAUAUGUCAUAUAACUCGCACAUCCUCUAGUCCUGUCCGUGAUGAAAGAGUGCUGUUUGAGGAACAUUUUCCCGGGAUCUGGCGACCGCUCUCCUCAUGAAUGAAAGUGAAAGUAAUGAACAGAGUUGAUGCGGCCAUUUUAAACAGACAGAAUCGAUGAUCUACAACACAUUAUAUAUUUAAAUCUUUAAUAGAAUCGCUAAUAAAUGCUAAAGCAGGAGUUUGUGUGGAGUUACCGGAUGGGAAUGUGAAUCGUCAGUGGAGAUCAAACUGUUCAGAUCCAUCAUGGAUGAAACACAAACUUCUGGAGAUGAAGAUUUGUUUCCAGCACACAGCUCAGUUCAUCAGAAGAGAUCAGAAGCAGAGUUCAGCUGUGUGUCUGUGAAGAGUGACGUGUCUAUGAUUGAACCAAUGAAGUUUAACAGUGGAGAUUCACAGCCUGAUCUCAGCUCAGUUCAUCAGAAGAGAUCAGAAGCAGAGUUCAGCUGUGUGUCUGUGAAGAGUGACGUGUCUAUGAUUGAACCAAUGAAGUUUAACAGUGGAGAUACACAUCCUGAUCUCAGGUAUAACUUUGGAUGAAAAUAUGAUUAUAACACGACUUUUAAUAUUGUCAUAUAUUAUAUUUAUUAUUUUAUUCUGUUGUUUUAUGUUCAAGACGAUUUUUAUGCAGGUUCCACUAAUCACUUUUAAUAACGGUCAAUAUAAGCUAAACAAGCCUGCACUGACAACGAGAAUUAGAAGUAAAUACAUAUUUGGGUGGUGAAAAAUUAUAAUACAAUGUCAUUAAUCAAUAUAUUAAGAUAACCCAUGUUAUUUAAAUUACUAAAAUAGCCUAUAGACAUUAAUGAGCAAUAAUAAUUCACCACACUGCAUGAUGCAAUGACAUAUUCAAGUGCACAGCUUCACCUAAUUAAUUAUUAAUUUGUUUAGUUAUGUCAUUUAUAAUUUGAACAAGAGAACACCAAUAAGCUUCGGGUAAUCAAUUUUUUUUAAUAUAUUCAUUACAUCAGAUCAGAUGUUUUUUUCAGGAAACAGGCAGACUAGAAUAAAUAGCAACACAGUAGCGAACAAUAAACGAUAGAAAUGGGAAAACAAAAAUGAAUUAAUCCAAAGUUUGAACAUUUCUGAGUUGGCUAAAACAUGUAAAUGUGAUAUCUGAAUCACUGUCAGAUGCU